UACGUAGGGUGCAAGCGUUGUCCGGAAUUAUUGGGCGUAAAGAGCUUGUAGGCGGUUUGUCGCGUCUGCUGUGAAAUUUCGGGGCUCAACCCCGAACUUGCAGUGGGUACGGGCAGACUAGAGUGUGGUAGGGGAGACUGGAAUUCCUGGUGUAGCGGUGAAAUGCGCAGAUAUCAGGAGGAACACCCGCGGCGAAGGCGGGUUGCUGGGCUGACACUGACGCUGAACUGCGAAAGCUAGGGGAGCGAACGGG
rnacentral:rRNA from 1 species